rnacentral:lncRNA from 1 species
CGUGUGUUUAUUUAUGAUAGUUUUGAUUCCAAAUGUUGUAAAGGAAAACCCUACCCCUUUCAUUUCUGUAAAUCAGUUCAUUUUUCAUUUUUAAGUAUGUCUGGUGCUAGGACUUAUUGCAGAUAACCACAGAGCACAACAUGUGCCCAAAGGCAACACAUUCAGAUUAAAAAGGUCUGACACAGGACAAGUUUGGGAGAAUCAGGAGCUGAGAUCUUUUUUCCUGCCAAGCUACAAGCAUUUGCCAAGUGCCAGCUAUUAAGGCAAAUCUUUGUUAUUAGGCCUACAUCAAAGCUUUUUUGAUAAAGAACAGCUAAAGAACAGCCGUAGCUUCAAGUAAUCCACAUGUCACAGCAAUUUUCUGUUACUUAAUUCCACUCUUGCCUUACCUCGUAUCUCAAAACAAGAGCUGAACUCGUUUAUGCCAAGAGACGGUCAGCUCUGCAAGGAGCUAAUGCUCUUCUGGUGCAAGUCAUUCUGCGUGCAAGCAGAGAAGCCAUUUCCUCUGAAGCACGGCUUAUCAUUGCUCAGAUACUCCUGGAAGGCAGUCUCCUGUUAAUGCCAGUUCUUCAACAAAAUGCUGACUUUAAAAUAAAUAUGCAAGGAUAUCAGAUGGGCUGGGGGACUGUGCCACUGUGUGAGGGAUCUGCAAUGCGAUGUGAAUUGGGAAUUCCAGUCCUGAGCAGCCAGGCAGGGAGAACAAGACUUCUCUACCUUAUCUACAAUUUCUGGUAGUGUUGCAUGUAUGUCUGGCUGUGUCAGUGUCCCCUCUAUGUGUAUGCAAGUGUAAAUACUUGUCCAGCACCUGGUUGUCUCCUACAAAAUGUACAUGGCUCCACUACAGCAACCAGGAAGGAACAAUCCCCAGGUCCUGGUGACCACAGGAUUCAGCAGUUCCUGUAAGAACCUUCAGUUUCGUGUUAAAACAUCCACUCUAUGGAAGACUCACAGGAAUAAUAAAAUAAGUGAAUGUAA